GCAGUCGAGCGAGACCUUCGGGUCUAGCGGCGGACGGGUGAGUAACGCGUGGGAACGUGCCCUUCUCUACGGAAUAGUCCCGGGAAACUGGGUUUAAUACCGUAUACGCCCUUCGGGGGAAAGAUUUAUCGGAGAAGGAUCGGCCCGCGUUAGAUUAGGUAGUUGGUGGGGUAAUGGCCUACCAAGCCUACGAUCUAUAGCUGGUUUGAGAGGAUGAUCAGCCACACUGGGACUGAGACACGGCCCAGACUCCUACGGGAGGCAGCAGUGGGGAAUCUUAGACAAUGGGGGCAACCCUGAUCUAGCCAUGCCGCGUGAGUGAUGAAGGCCUUAGGGUCGUAAAGCUCUUUCGCUGGGGAAGAUAAUGACUGUACCCAGUAAAGAAACCCCGGCUAACUCCGUGCCAGCAGCCGCGGUAAUACGGAGGGGGUUAGCGUUGUUCGGAAUUACUGGGCGUAAAGCGCGCGUAGGCGGAUUGGAAAGUUGGGGGUGAAAUCCCGGGGCUCAACCUCGGAACUGCCUCCAAAACUCCCAGUCUUGAGUUCGAGAGAGGUGAGUGGAACUCCGAGUGUAGAGGUGAAAUUCGUAGAUAUUCGGAAGAACACCAGUGGCGAAGGCGGCUCACUGGCUCGAUACUGACGCUGAGGUGCGAAAGUGUGGGGAGCAAACAGGAUUAGAUACCCUGGUAGUCCACACCGUAAACGAUGAAUGCCAGUCGUCGGCAAGCAUGCUUGUCGGUGACACACCUAACGGAUUAAGCAUUCCGCCUGGGGAGUACGGUCGCAAGAUUAAAACUCAAAGGAAUUGACGGGG
rnacentral:rRNA from 1 species